rnacentral:rRNA from 1 species
UGAGGAAUAUUGGUCAAUGGGCGGGAGCCUGAACCAGCCAAACCGCGUGAGGGAGGAAGGCCCUAUGGGUCGUAAACCUCUUUUGUCAGGGAACAAAAGCGAGUAUGUAUACUAGUCUGAGUGUACCUGAAGAAAAAGCAUCGGCUAACUCCGUGCCAGCAGCCGCGGUAAUACGGAGGAUGCGAGCGUUAUCCGGAUUUAUUGGGUUUAAAGGGUGCGUAGGCGGCGGUGCAAGUCAGCGGUAAAAGCCCGGGGGCUCAACCCCGGCGAGCCGUUGAAACUGCAGUGCUAGAGAAGGCGAGAGGUACGCGGAAUGCGCAGUGUAGCGGUGAAAUGCUUAGAUAUUGCGCAGAACUCCGAUUGCGAAGGCAGCGUACUGGCGCCUGACUGACGCUGAGGCACGAAAGCGUGGGGAUCGAACAGGAUUAGAUACC